rnacentral:rRNA from 1 species
GGGUCAGUAGGUUGGUCGUGCCACCGGUACGUACUGGUCUCACUGAUUCCUCCUUCCUGAAGAACCGUAAUGCCAUUAAUUUGGUGUUGCGGGGAAACAGGACUGUUACUUUGAAAGAAUUAGAGUGUUUAAAGCAAGCUAACGCUUGAAUACAUUAGCAUGGAAUAAUGAAAUAGGACGAUCGAUCCUAUUUUGUUGGUUUCUGGGAUUGACGUA